rnacentral:rRNA from 1 species
UACGUAGGUGGCAAGCGUUGUCCGGAUUUACUGGGCGUAAAGGGCGUGCAGGCGGUUUGUUAAGUGCAGGGUGAAAGCUCCCGGCUCAACUGGGAGAGGUCCUUGCAUACUGGCAGACUUGAGGGAGGCAGAGGAAAGUGGAAUUCCGGUGUAGUGGUGAUAUGCGUAGAGAUCGGCAGGAACACCCAGGGGGAAACCAGUCGACUGGGCAGCACCUGACGCUGAGGUGCGAGAGCGUGGGGAGCAAACGAGGA